rnacentral:lncRNA from 1 species
UCCCCAAUUGACCCGCGAACACAAGCUCCAACUUCAUCAUACUCCCAAAUUGACCUACGAACAUAAAUUUUAAAAUAAGUAUUCCAAAAAAAUAAUUAUUGCACAGCCUUGCGCACACAUGAACUAAACUGGAAUAAACUUUAAAAUGUAAAACAAGCUUAGUGGCCUUAAUAGCAAUUCGCGACAUACAAACAAUAAUCUACUAUUGUCCCAAAAAGAGAACUAAAGAAGGCACAACUUAAAUCAAAAUACAAACUUCAAUAUUAUAGAAUAUCUUUAAUUGAUACUAAUUUAACAAAAGUACAUCAUCCACUUAUACUUGAACUCGACGCGUUCUCAUACUCUGAAAACGGUCAAUAAUAGCACCAUUGCUUACAUUUGCAAAUACUUCUUUUUCAAAGUAACAAACUAAACAAUCAUUUAAAAAUGCAUCACCAAUAUUACUACGCAAUUCAUCUUUGAUGUACUUCAUGGAUGAGAUGCUCUUUCUACUGUUGCAGUCGCGACAGGUAAAAUUAGAGUCAACUUUACAAGUGAAUAUGCCUCCACAAGAUUUGCUUCAACCAACGCUUUUGCCAAAUCACCAAUUCCUUUCAAAUCCGAGAAUCUAGGGUCACCAUGUUUCAUGUGCAAUAUGAAAGUAUCAAGUUGGUGACUAAGAUCUCGAAGCUUCAAUUCACCAAACUCAUCUGGAUAAUACUUGGCCAAUGUCAUUAUUCUUUUCUUAUCAAAAUUAGCAAACGAAUUAACUGGAUUCAAGCUAGCCAUACCAAGAAGCAAGUUACCACUAACAACAUCAAAACGACUGUUAAGUUUCUGAAAUUGCAAAUCAAUCACUGUGUAGAAAAGCUCAACACGUAAGUGAUGUGAAUAAGUAACACUAGAAGGCCUACGCUUCGACUUUUCAGGAAUAUAGAAUUCUUCCAUAUUGGGCACUAAAAUAUCAUGCUUAGCACAAAACAAAGAGACUUCAUCCAUUAAUGAUUUCCAUCCUUCAUUUCUCAUUUGUUGCAACCUAUCCUUUGUAAGGUUAAAGAAAUAUUAUGGCAUUGACAAUAUCAUGCUCUUUCUUCUGUAAAGCUUUACUCAGCUCGUUCGACAUCAACAAUAUCUUCAACAUCAAGUGAAGCAUGAACACAAAUUCAAAUGAAUUGAUUUUACUCAAAAAGGCUUCUGCUUGCAAUCUAUCAUUAGCUCAGAACCUUCAUAUUCAAUCACCCCAAACACAUGAACAAUAGAUGCAAACAAAACAACAAAGUUAUCCAAUGUUUUACAAUGUGAUACCCAACGAGUGUCACCUGGCCUUUGAAACCCUCGUUCUUGAUUUAAUCCUUUCCCACUUUGAACUUCACCACUCUCUAGCAACUGCUCCAAUAAUUCUGCUUGAUGGUCCCGAAAUUUAUCUCUACGCUUAAAGGAUACUCCAAUCACAUUCAACACAUUAGCAGCUAUAGCAAAGAAAGUUUCCACCUCCUUAUGUUUUUUAGCAACCGCUAUAAGCGUCAACUGUAAUUGAUGAGCAAAACAAUGAAUGUAAUGUGCCGAAGGAGUUUCUUGCAAAAUUAAAGCUUUAAGACCAUUUAUUUUUCCUUGCAUAUUACUAGCUCCAUCAUACCCUUGUCCACAUAUUUUGGAUGGACUUAAUGAGUGUUUCAUAAGCAAAGAAAGUAUUGAUUCCUUCAACGAUUUUGCAGAGGUAUCACCAACACGAACAUGACCAAUAAAUGGCUCGUUCACUUGGCCUUUUUUGUCAACAUACCGCAAAGCAAGGGACAUUUGUUCAUGGUAUGAAAUAUUCUUGUGCACAAGCACUCACAAUGUCCUUUUGAAUUUUUGGCGAAGUCAUCAUAUCAUUUUUUGGAGCAUGUUUCAAUAUGACUCUAUCCACUUGAGGGAGCCUCUUUGCAAGCCAUUUCAAAAGCCCUAGAAAAAGGCCUUUAUUUUUUGAAGAAUAACUUUCAUCGUGACCUCUAAAAGACAAUCCAAAGUACAAGAGGAGCCUUGCAACAUCGAUUGAUGCAUUUAAACGAAUUCGGUGCUCAUUUCUUUAUUUCUCAGAUUGCUUAUCAAAAGCAACUUGAAUUGAUUGGGAUUGAUUUGAUAAGUCUAACAUCUUGUUGAAACACUUGUGGUGGAGGCAAUUUACUUGACUAACAUGUAAAGCAAGUCUUUCUGAAGCUUUAUUCCAGGCCAUAAAGCCUGUUUUUGUGAAAGAGUCACCCGUGCUUCCAUGAACAUAAUCAUUUUUGAAUAAAUAAUAACAUAAACAAAAUGCGGCAUCUUUCUUCACACUAUACUCCAACCAUCUAGAAUACGAAUCUUUAAACCAACCCGGACUAAAUUGACACAUUUUAUUCCCAAAUAAAGUUUUAGGAAACUUAUGAUCAACCGGUUGGAAAGGUCCAUUUUGAAUGUAGUGUCUUCUUACUUCAUCCCGUAUUCUAGGACUAUAUUUAUCAAUGGGUACUCUCUCUCCAGGAUCGGAAUUGAGUAAUUUUUCAUCAAACUCAUCUAUAAGAUGAGAGGAAUUGUUUCUAAGAGUAGAACUUGGUUGAGAAGAAUUAAACUUCGUCAAAAAUACGUCCAUCUCAAUUUAUAAGAACAAGAACUUCCUACAAAAAACAAGUCCAAUAAAUUUAAGAGUCUAUCAAGAAUACAAACAAACACGAUAUAAAUAGAGCAAUCACACUCCUUUUAUAAAAAAUAAAACAAAUACAACUUAUUGAAUACUAAUACUACAACUCUACAAAAGGACCACUUGAUAUCUUCACUAACAUUUACUUAUAAAUUCUAGCUAUGUUGCAUAAUUUAAUUAUAUUUUGAUACUUGAUAUUUUCACUAACCUUUAAAUAUAGUGUUGGUUGCUAGCACAGUAUAAUUGAAAUUGCUUCUCAAAACACUUAAUUGACUUCUUUUUGUAUAUCAAGAAUCAGAAACUUAAACAUAAAUUGAAAAACAUGGAGACAUUCAUUCUUAAACAAUCAUUCUUAAAUAAUUUAUAGCGUCUGAAAAAUAGAAAGAGAAGCCAUUCUUAAAGUUAAAUAGUAAAAAAUUAAGAGAUCACUAAAUUUCAGAGAAAAUAGAAGCUCAACCUAAACAAAAUCAUUUGAAUAAUAGAUUUGGGGUUUACCAAGAAUACCUUUAUCGGAGAUUCUUGAACCAAAAAUUUUAAACCAAUUGUUGCUCAUUAGAUGAUAACUCUGCACUAUUACACUAAUAUAUCUUUAUGAAUAUAUAACUCGUUAUUCUCGCUGGAAAGAUUUAAGCUUUCUACAGUUUUACUCUAAUAUCUUUGAAGAGGUCAAGUUGGUGGACUGGCUGAAAUUAACAUCCAUCUCCAAUUCUCCAUGCUCUUAAUCUCUUAUAAUUUAUAAAUAAAAAAUAAGUUUCAAAGUAAAAGACGCACUAACCAAAUAUUUGAUGCAUGCUACUUUUUCAAAGUAAUGAGUGAAAUUGAGAUUGAGGAAGAAGGGUUCUCUAUUUUGAAGUGAGAAGUGACGUCCUGAGAGAUGAGUUAACGGGAGGCGAGCUUUGAUUUUUGAUUAAGGAAGAACCGAAGAAGUGAAGAACUGGAGAAGGGUUUAGUCUUUAGGGAAUUGACAUUUGGGGCUUUU